GACGAACGCUGGCGGCGUGCUUAACACAUGCAAGUCGAGCGGUAAGGCCCUUUCGGGGGUACACGAGCGGCGAACGGGUGAGUAACACGUGGGUGACCUGCCCUCAGCUCUGGGAUAAGCCUGGGAAACUGGGUCUAAUACUGGAUAUGACUCCACGGUGCAUGUCGUGGGGUGGAAAGCCUUGUGCGGCUGAGGAUGGGCCCGCGGCCUAUCAGCUUGUUGGUGGGGUGAGGCCUACCAAGGCGACGACGGGUAGCCGGCCUGAGAGGGCGACCGGCCACACUGGGACUGAGACACGGCCCAGACUCCUACGGGAGGCCAGCAGUGGGGAAUCUUGCGCAAUGGGCGAAAGCCUGACGCAGCGACGCCGCGUGAGGGAUGACGGCCUC
rnacentral:rRNA from 1 species